rnacentral:rRNA from 1 species
ACUGGAAUUCCUGGUGUAGCGGUGAAAUGCGCAGAUAUCAGGAGGAACACCGGUGGCGAAGGCGGAUCUCUGGGCCAUUACUGACGCUGAGGAGCGAAAGCGUGGGGAGCGAACAGGAUUAGAUACCCUGGUAGUCCACGCCGUAAACGUUGGGAACUAGGUGUGGGUCACAUUCCACGUGGUCCGCGCCGCAGCUAACGCAUUAAGUUCCCCGCCUGGGGAGUACGGCCGCAAGGCUAAAACUCAAAGGAAUUGACGGGGGCCCGCACAAGCAGCGGAGCAUGUGGCUUAAUUCGACGCAACGCGAAGAACCUUACCAAGGCUUGACAUAUACCGGAAACGGCCAGAGAUGGUCGCCCCCUUGUGGUCGGUAUACAGGUGGUGCAUGGUUGUCGUCAGCUCGUGUCGUGAGAUGUUGGGUUAAGUCCCGCAACGAGCGCAACCCUUGUCCUGUGUUGCCAGCAUGCCCUUCGGGGUGAUGGGGACUCACGGGAGACUGCCGGGGUCAACUCGGAGGAAGGUGGGGACGACGUCAAGUCAUCAUGCCCCUUAUGUCCAGGGCUUCAC